rnacentral:rRNA from 1 species
AGCAGUAGCCGCGGUAAUACGUAGGUGGCGAGCGUUGUCCGGAUUUAUUGGGCGUAAAGGGAAUGUAGGCGGUCUUUUAAGUCUGAUGUGAAAGCCCACGGCUCAACCGUGGAGGGUCAUUGGAAACUGGGAGACUUGAGUGCAGAAGAGGAGAGCGGAAUUCCAUGUGUAGCGGUGAAAUGCGUAGAUAUAUGGAGGAACACCAGUGGCGAAGGCGGCUCUCUGGUCUGUAACUGACGCUGAGGCUCGAAAGCGUGGGGAGCAAACAGGAUUAGAUACCCCCGUAGUCCCUGUCUCUUAUAC